AGACUGAGACGAAAGGAACAUCUA
rnacentral:siRNA from 1 species